rnacentral:rRNA from 1 species
ACGGAAGGCAGCAGUGGGGAAUAUUGCACAAUGGGGGAAACCCUGAUGCAGCGACGCCGCGUGAGUGAAGAAGUAUUUCGGUAUGUAAAGCUCUAUCAGCAGGGAAGAAAAUGACGGUACCUGACUAAGAAGCCCCGGCUAACUACGUGCCAGCAGCCGCGGUAAUACGUAGGGGGCAAGCGUUAUCCGGAUUUACUGGGUGUAAAGGGAGCGUAGACGGCUUUGCAAGUCUGAUGUGAAAGGCAGGGGCUCAACUCCUGGACUGCAUUGGAAACUGCAGGGCUGGAGUGUCGGAGAGGUAAGCGGAAUUCCUAGUGUAGCGGUGAAAUGCGUAGAUAUUAGGAGGAACACCAGUGGCGAAGGCGGCUUACUGGACGAUAACUGACGUUGAGGCUCGAAAGCGUGGGGAGCAAACAGGAUUAGAUACCCUGGUA